UUAACUAAGAAUAUAAGGGUGGAGCUUUAUAUUCAAGAAUUAAUAAAAGAUGAGUAAUUGAGCAAAUUAUUUGAAAAUUAGGCUUUUUAGUGGCCAUAUUUUUAAAGUAUUUUAACUAUUAAAAUAUUAAAAGUUUUUAUUUUUAUUCUCUUAAAAUAUUUAGUAGAAUAUAUUUUUUAUUAAAAGUAAUUUAGUAAUAAUGAUAAUAUUAGUAGAAUUUUAGUUAUUAAUUUUAAUAUAUUUAAAUCAGAAAAUAUUUUUUAAUAAAAACGAAGGAAAAUUAAAGGAACUCGGCAAUUUUUUUUCUUGCCUGUUUAACAAAAACAUGUCUGUAUGAAGUUAUAUAGAGUCUGGCCUGCCCGUUGAAGAAAUUUGAAAGGCCGCGGUAUAUUAACUGUGCAAAGGUAGCAUAAUCAUUAGCUUUUUAAUUGAAGGCUUGUAUGAAGGGUCUGACAAAGAAAAAACUGUCUUUAAUUUUAUUUUUGAAAUUAACUUUUAAGUGAAAAGGCUUAAAUAAAUUUAAGGGACGAUAAGACCCUAUAAAUCUUUAUAUUAAAUUAUUAUCUCAAAAUUUAAUAAUAUGUCUAGAGUUGUUGAGUAAAAUUAAUAAAUAUUUUGUUGGGGUGACGAGAAUAUAUAAAAAACUGUUCUUAUAAAAAACAAAGUUGUUUGUUUAAUAAAAUUAUAGAUCCUUUUUAGAGAUUAAGAGAUUAAGUUACUUUAGGGAUAACAGCGUUAUUUUUUUUGAGAGUUCUUAUCGAAAAAAAAGUUUGCGACCUCGAUGUUGAAUUAAAAUUUCUCUAUGGUGUAGCAGUUAUGGAAGAAAGUCUGUUCGACUUUUGAAAUUUU
rnacentral:rRNA from 1 species